rnacentral:rRNA from 1 species
GAUGAACGCUGGCGGCGUGCCUAAUACAUGCAAGUCGAGCGAACAGACGAGGAGCUUGCUCCUCUGACGUUAGCGGCGGACGGGUGAGUAACACGUGGAUAACCUACCUAUAAGACUGGGAUAACUUCGGGAAACCGGAGCUAAUACCGGAUAACAUAUUGAACCGCAUGGUUCAUUAGUGAAAGACGGUUUUGCUUUCACCUAUAGACGGAUCCGCGCCGCAUUAGCUAGUUGGUAAGGUAACGGCUUACCAAGGCGACGAUGCGUAGCCGACCUGAGAGGGUGAUCGGCCACACUGGAACUGAGACACGGUCCAGACUCCUACGGGAGGCAGCAGUAGGGAAUCUUCCGCAAUGGGCGAAAGCCUGACGGAGCAACGCCGCGUGAGUGAUGAAGGUCUUCGGAUCGUAAAACUCUGUUAUUAGGGAAGAACAAAUGUGGAAGUAACUGUGCACGUCGUGACGGUACCUAAUCAGAAAGCCACGGCUAACUACGUG